rnacentral:rRNA from 1 species
GAUGAAGAGCACUGGAAUGAAGAGCUUCUGCUCCAGUUCUAUGCCACACUGCACAUCAAAGGCUACAACAGAGAUCCGAAGACUUGGGUCCUGGAGUGGAUGACCGGCAAUGUCCAUCAUGAAGCCAAUGCAUUCGAUAUCAUUGAGCUUACCGGCCAAUCCACUCCUGGCGAACUCUUUGAAGAAGGCUGCCAACUCCAUGCUGAAGCAAUUGAGAGCAUAUUUCAGCGACCUGAGCCAAAUAUGAGUCAGAUGCUCUCAAUGAUGAAGCCAUUGCUUCCUGAUGCACCUUACCCAACCGAGUUCUUCGUUGAAGACUUAGAGUACCUGCCCAGAACUAUAUAUCACAUCGUCAGGCGGACUCUAUGGCCCAUUAAGGGGUACUCUUGA